rnacentral:lncRNA from 1 species
GGUAAGGGUUUUCAUCUGUCUUGGUCUACUUUUCGACAGUCCCUUAGCUAUGUUAACUACAGGUUGAGCUUCCCUAAUCUUAAGAAGAUCCAAAAUGUUUCAAAAUCUGGAUCUUUGUGAAUGCUAACGAUGCUAAACUGGGAAAUUUCACAUUUGAUCUCAUGUGAUGGAAGGCAGCCAAAAUGCAGGGACACUAAAAAUACUCUUAAGUACCUUCAGGCUAUGUAUAAUGAAUAUCAUGUUUAGGCUUGGGUUCUAUCACCAACAAUCUCAUUAUGCAUAUGCAAAUAUUCCAGAAUCCAAAGAAACCUGAAACACUUCUGGCAUUUAGGACAGGUGAUACACCACUAUAUAAAAAUACUUAAAUGGGAAUGGGGGUAGAGAAGGGAUAUUCUAACACUGGGAAGCAGAAAUGGCCAAUCUUGACUAUCAUUUCUGAAAGAAGUGAACAAUCACUCCCAUCCCUUCCUAAGGACACAAACAACUUUCAAAGAGCAGAAAACAGAGCAACUUGUUUUUUUACUUAACUAUGAAGCCAAUUUCAUUGUCAUUAAUUUGUGACACCAAAAAUAGACUUUUGUUUUUUGCCUUACCAUGGUAGGCAAGAACUCUACUAUUGAGCUACACUCAAGACCCUCAAAAUCCAGGCUUUGGCCCUUCAAAUUGACUAAAUUAAUAGAAUUUUAUUUCCCUGGCCUCAAACUCCUCUAAGGUUUUGGCCUUAGCAGAGCACCUUAAUAAAGGCCUUGAUAAAUGCUUUCUAGUAAUAUGAAAUCUUCAGAAAUGAAGUAGGUUGCCCUGUGUUAAAAUUUUUCAUAUCACUUCUCAGGUGCUUUAGAGGCUUACAGCAUCAGGCUUUAGUGACACCACUAGAGGGCACUCGCACAGACCUGGUAUGGAAGUGAGGCUCGUUUUUCAGACCAGUACAACUCCAUUCAUUAGCACAUCACAAUUUCUUAUUCUUUCCCCCCAAGUUUUGCUGUUUUUCUGGGGCUGCUUAUAAUAGUACAGCCCAUCCUAAGUUAAAAAAAUACACUUAAAAUAGUGUUUUUUUAGGAGUCUGGGUAUGUCAUUCCAUAGUAGAGUGCUUACCUAGUAUGUGAGAGAUCCUGGGUUUGAACCUCAGCACUGAAGGGGGGAUAAAAAAGUCCUAGCUAUAAGUGUCUUCAUUACUGCUCAACAGUCAUGUAGUUUUUAAGAUCUAAUCACACAUGCCUUCCAUCUCAGAGGGGACCUUUUCCAUUGGGAUUAAAUUCUUCUGUGCAACAAGGCUUUACUGUUGAGCAAGUACCCAUCUGUCUUCCCCGCCUUCUUUAAAUAGAUUUUAUUAGAACAUUUUUUAGUUUCACAGCAAAAGUCAGUAGAAAAUAAAGUUCCCAUAUAUUCCUUGUCUUUAUCUCUCCUGUGCACCAAGAUUUUCCUAGGUCCACUCAUAGUUUUGUCUUUGAAACAUCCCUUUUGCUAGAGUUCUACUUGUUUUUGGAAUAAUCAUUAGCUAAUUACUCUCCUUUAACAUUUCUGAUCAAUUAUGCUUUCAGGCUUUUGCCUUCUGGAUUUCAACAGUAAUUACAGAAGAUUUCAAACAGGGGCAUACAGGCACACUUACUAUGAAGGAAAUCAGUUUCCAGAUCUUUAAAUUUUCACAUGUACCUAAGAGAAUGUCCUUUCAGUAAAGUUGUUUAAUUAGUGGUCAUACAUUAAAUUUAGUUAAAGACUUUUGGUAACUCCCCACAAACUGAGAAAGAAACACCUGCAAUCACUGUUAUUUGGGAGGCUGAGGUGGGAGGAACUCAAGUUUGAGACUAUCCACAAGACCUUGCCUCAAAACAAAAAAGGGCAGGGGAUGUAGUUCCGUGGUACAGCACCUGUGGGUUCAAUUCCCAAUGCCACAAAAGCAAAAGCAAAACAAACAACUGAGAAAGUAGCUUUUUGACUGGAUAACAAAUCCUGCUAGUCAGGUGGAUCCAAAUUCUGUUUUUAAGAAAGUUGAAGGAGGACAAAGCAAAUUGUCAGUUGAAAGAACAUUAAAAUAUUUUUUGGUUAAUGAUUACUAUGUGAAUUUUGAUGUAAAAAGUUUUUAAGUUUGAGACACUGAUAACAAAACUGCUUCCAUUUGCAUCUUCAUAUUUUUGUUAAGAUAUCUCAACUGACAUUCAUGAAAAAAUGUAAUUAUGGCUGAAUCUACCUCAUUUUAGCAAUAUAAUAAAUACACAUACAUACAUUAAUGGAGGAGAGGAAAAGCUUUGUCCAUUUCAUUCUGAUACACUUCUAAUAAUAUUUUUUGCUUAAUAUUUUACUAAAAUAUUUGUCAACAGAGUAGGAAUAAAGAAUUAUUAGGAAAAAUUUAACUGUUUAGCCUGUGACCUUAGGAAAACUGUUUCCUUUUCUCUCUCUCUCUCUCUCUCUCUCUCUAUAUAUAUAUAUAUAUAUUUUGUUGCCGAAAGCUAUAACAGACUUACUUAAAGUAAGUCUUGACUAUAAAUAUGUUAGAAUAAAGAAUAAAAAUACAGUUAUAAAUUUAAGGAGAAAAAGCAGUGGAAGAUUAUUCACUGUUUAGCUAGGUUAUUCAGACAUUUUAAAGUAGAUAUUGAUGGGUAGGUAUCAAAUUGCUAUUUAACUUGGAUUACUUUAAGAGUGAUAGAUUUAUAUAUAUGUGUGUGUGUGUG